UGUGUGUGUCGUGAGGUGUGUGAGGUUUGUGUGUGUCCUGAGGUGUGUGAGAUGUUGUGUGUGUGUCCUGAGGUGUGUGAGAGGUUGUGUGUGUCCUGAGUUGUGUGAAAGUUGUGUGUGUCCUGAGGUGUGUGAGGUGUUAUGUGUGUGCCCUGAGGUGUGUGAGGGUUGUGUGUGUGUCCUGAGGUGUGUGAGGGUUGUGUGUUUCUUGAGGUAUGUGAGAGUUGUGUGUGUCCUGAGGUGUGUGAGGGUUGCGUGUGUGUCCUGAGGUGUGUGAGGGGUUAUGUGUGUGUCCUGAGGUGUGUGAGAGUUGUGUGUGUGUCCUGAGGUGUGUGAGGUGUUGUGUGUGUGUCCUGAGGUAU
rnacentral:lncRNA from 1 species